CCUACGGGAGGCAGCAGUGAGGAAUAUUGGUCAAUGGGCGCGAGCCUGAACCAGCCAAGUCGCGUGAGGGAAGACGGUCCUAUGGAUUGUAAACCUCUUUUGUCGGGGAGCAAAAGACGCCACGCGUGGCGUUCCGAGAGUACCCGAAGAAAAAGCAUCGGCUAACUCCGUGCCAGCAGCCGCGGUAAUACGGAGGAUGCGAGCGUUAUCCGGAUUUAUUGGGUUAAAAGGGUGCGCAGGCGGACGAUCAAGUCAGCGGUAAAAGUGAGAGGCUCAACCUCUUCGAGCCGUUGAAACUGGUUUUCUUGAGUGAGCGAGAAGUAUGCGGAAUGCGUGGUGUAGCGGUGAAAUGCAUAGAUAUCACGCAGAACUCCGAUUGCGAAGGCAGCAUACCGGCGCUCAACUGACGCUCAUGCACGAAAGUGUGGGUAUCGAACAGGAUUAGAUACCCUGGUAGUC
rnacentral:rRNA from 1 species